AUUUAGUUUUUUCACUACAAAUAUCUGAUUUCAUGGUACGCAAACUCGUCCACAAUUCCAAAAUAAUCAACUUCUACAACAUGUCGAAAAGAAUCUCAGGUCAAGAAUUGCUGACUGUCAUCAUACGGCUGAAGAAUGACUUCAAGGUGGAUGGUAACGUGUUGCCAAUUCACUUCUUCCAAAAAGCAACGAGCGAGAUAGCGGAGGAAUUGGGUGUGCGUUUCUCGUGGUCGGAGUUAUACGAGAGGUUCCAAUCGUUCGAGCAACACUUCAUACUCUUCGAUGAUGUGGUGAACACUACAGGAGUUUCUUGGAAUGUCGAUUUUAACACUAUGGCAGCUGCCACUCCAGUCCGGGAGUCGAUAUUGAAGUUAUUGUUUUGAAAAAUGCAUUGGCCGGUGCUUACUACUAUAAUGGAGAGCCGGAGUUUUCCAAGCUAGCCAUUCUGUUCAAGAAUACACCUAUUAAGACAGAGCCUGUUUCUGCGACGAAGACUCAAGUAAUAUUGAUUUGAGACUCUACUUAUUCACCAGAUGGUGGCACUCGUGGUCUCGGCACACGCACGCACAAAGGCACAUAAAGUAACAUCCGGUGAAGGGAGUGACUCUUUCUGUUCACAAGUCAUAAUCGGUCCACGUCGUAAACUCUUCUGUGAAGAUGGGGAAAGUGAGCCGCAACGGCAAAACGAUGCUUCGGUGCCUGACGGGGUGCUCAAACGGAGGCUCGAAAUGGCUCCUCCUCCCAGACCAAAAAAUCAUAAGGCUUCGCCGCAUGGUAGCUCAUGAGGUCUUCAAGCCCGACGACUUGGUGGGGUAGGUAUGGGCAGUAGCCCGACGUCUGAAGCUUUUAAUGAUGCCAGUUAUUUGGCCGUUUAUUACUAAACUUGUACUGAAGAUUAACUCUUUCCCGAUAUGGUUGUGAAGCUGUUAAGGAUGAAGUUCCUUAACGGUAGAAGUUCGCGUCGAACGUCGCGGGAGCUUUGCCCCUCGAUCAAUCCGGCGUCGAAUUCUAGGGUUUGUGCGUUGCGCACCUUUGGAAGAAGAAGAUGAGUGAGAGAAAGUAUUUUAUUUCUUGAAUGAUUGAGAAUAA